GUCAGCUCUUAAGGGAUCAAUUGAUGGAAAAUGUAACAGAUGUAUUAUAUUGAAAUAAAAUAGUACUUGAGGAAUAAAAAUGAAAUGUUUUAAAGAUAUUAUAAGGAAUUGAAAUUGAUCUCAAACCUGAAGUGGUAAAGUGUAAUUUACCCUUUAAAGUAUGUUAUCAGCAAGCCACGUAAUUUAAGUACACAGAGAAUUGUAAGUUUGUGAGUGACAAGGAGAAUGAUUUUUUGUUCUUGACAAACUUGUUAUUCAGUUUAUGAGUUAUCACGUUGAGAAAAUCACGUUUUUAUUUGGCUAAGAUUAGGAGCCCUAAUAACAUGCAAUUAUAUUCACCCUAAUAACAUGCAAUUAUAUUCAAGUAACCUUAUCAUGUUUUGACAAGAGUUCAAUACCAAGUAGGAUUAUAUCGAAACCCUAAUUAAUAUGGAAUAUCCUGAGCAUCAGUUAAUAGGACUGAUAUCAAGGAUGUUUUGACAAGAGUGUAGAACUCUUUCUCAUUUCCUACAGCAAUGGCAAGUUCUUCAGGUAAGCAUACUUCCUUUACGUAUGCAUGUUGUAAUAUACAUGUGGUUCUAUGCCUGCAGUGUCUCUAAUGGUUUACAAGAAUUAGAUGAAAAGGCUUGAAAUCUCAAAAGAUGAAAUUGAUUGUUUUUAAUGAGUUUAUGCACUUACUUUCCGAAAAUUCAAUACAUAAAUUUAAUUUUCACUCGAGUAAUAAUUUAAGAACUUAUUCGUCAGUUCACUCCUAAUAAAUCCAAUGUAUACAUUCUGCUUACGAAUUAAGAAAACAAAAUCCAAUAUACAUAAUCAAACCCUAUAUAAAAAAAGGACAGAACAUCCUCUC
rnacentral:lncRNA from 1 species